GUGCAAGCGUUAUCCGGAUUCACUGGGUUUAAAGGGUGCGUAGGCGGGCAGGUAAGUCCGUUGUGAAAUCUCUGAGCUUAACUCAGAAACUGCCAUGGAUACUAUUUGUCUUGAAUAUUGUGGAGGUAAGCGGAAUAUGUCAUGUAGCGGUGAAAUGCUUAGAUAUGACAUAGAACACCAAUUGCGAAGGCAGCUUACUACACAGUUAUUGACGCUGAGGCACGAAAGCGUGGGGAUCAAACAGG
rnacentral:rRNA from 1 species